rnacentral:rRNA from 1 species
CAGUCGCCACGGUAAUACGAAGGGGGCUAGCGUUGUUCGGAAUGACUGGGCGUAAAGGGCGCGUAGGCGGCGGCCAAAGUCAGGCGUGAAAUUCCCGGGCUCAACCUGGGGGCUGCGUUUGAUACUUGGUUGCUUGAGUGGGGAAGAGGGUCGUGGAAUUCCCAGUGUAGAGGUGAAAUUCGUAGAUAUUGAGAAGAACACCGGUGGCGAAGGCGGCGACCUGGUCCUUUACUGACGCUGAGGCGCGAAAGCGUGGGGAGCAAACAGGAUUAGAUACCCCGGUAGUCCCUGUCUCUUAUAC